rnacentral:rRNA from 1 species
GUUGAACGCAUAUGGCGCAUCGGACGUUUCAACCCGACCGAUGCACACAUCCUUGAGU